AACGUAGGAGACGAACGUUAUCCGGAGUUACUGGGCGUAAAGGGCGUGUAGGCGGUAUGCUAAGUCUGGCGUGAAAGCUCUCGGCUAAACCGGGAGAGGUCGUUGGAUACUGGCAAACUAGAGGAUGGUAGAGGCGUGUGGAAUUCCGGGUGUAGUGGUGAAAUGCGUAGAGAUCCGGAGGAACACCAGUGGCGAAGGCGACACGCUGGGCCAUACCUGACGCUAAAGCGCGACAGCAUGGGGAGCAAACGGG
rnacentral:rRNA from 1 species